CCUACGGGUGGCAGCAGUGAGGAAUAUUGGUCAAUGGGCGGGAGCCUGAACCAGCCAAGCCGCGUGAGGGAAGAAGGUACAGCGUAUCGUAAACCUCUUUUGUCAGGGAACAAAGGCGGGGACUAGUCCCCGGAUGAGGGUACCUGAAGAAAAAGCAUCGGCUAACUCCGUGCCAGCAGCCGCGGUAAUCCGUAGGAGGCAAGCGUUAUCCGGAAUGACUGGGCGUAAAGGGUGCGUAGGUGGUUUGACAAGUUGGUAGCGUAACUCCGAGCCUUAACCCCGGCACUACUACCAAAACUGUUGGACUCGAGUGCAGGAGGGGGAAAUGGAAUUCCUAGUGGAGCGGUGGAAUGCGUAGAUAUUAGGAGGAACACCAGUGGCGAAGGCGAUUUGCUGGACUGUAACUGACACUGAGGCACGAAAGCGUGGGGAGCAAACAGGAUUAGAUACCCUGGUAGUC
rnacentral:rRNA from 1 species